rnacentral:piRNA from 1 species
UGGCCACCAAGGGAUCUUAGAUACCCCAA